GGGGCGGGGCGGCGUGCCUUACACAUGCAGUCGAACGAUGACGGUGGUGCUUGCACCACCUGAUUAGUGGCGAACGGGUGAGUAACACGUGAGUAACCUGCCCCCCACUUCGGGAUAACCUCGGGAAAUCGUGGCUAAUACCGGAUACGAGCACUCAUCGCAUGGUGGGUGCUGGAAAGAUUUAUCGGUGGGGGAUGGACUCGCGGCCUAUCAGUUUGUUGGUGAGGUGAUGGCUCACCAAGACGAUGACGGGUAGCCGGCCUGAGAGGGCGACCGGCCACACUGGGACUGAGACACGGCCCAGACUCCUACGGGAGGCAGCAGUGGGGAAUAUUGCACAAUGGGCGAAAGCCUGAUGCAGCGACGCCGCGUGGGGGAUGACGGCCUUCGGGUUGUAAACCCCUUUCAGUAGGGAAGAAGCGAGAGUGACGGUACCUGCAGAAGAAGCGCCGGCUAACUACGUGCCAGCAGCCGCGGUAAUACGUAGGGCGCAAGCGUUGUCCGGAAUUAUUGGGCGUAAAGAGCUUGUAGGUGGCUUGUCGCGUCUGCCGUGAAAACCCGAGGCUCAACCUCGGGCGUGCGGUGGGUACGGGCAGGCUAGAGUGUGGUAGGGGAGACUGGAACUCCUGGUGUAGCGGUGAAAUGCGCAGAUAUCAGGAAGAACAC
rnacentral:rRNA from 1 species